rnacentral:lncRNA from 7 species
UCUGCGGCUCUGUUUACCAAAAGCGGUGCCGUGCACGUACGCGUCUCGUUGAGCCCGGCCGGAGCCUCUGCAUGCGCCGUUGCGUGUGUGUGUGUGUCUGGAAGAGAGGAUCGGAGUCGACGGCGGAAGAUCGAGCACGGCGCCGGGUACGGUGCUCUAUCACUCCGAUUGUCCUGCGGGGUGCAUGAUCACCUGGUGGUGCACAGUACAUAAUUAAAGUGGUGACCACGUGUGUCCACGAGCGCGGCGGCGGAGCGUGGGGAUGACCGCGACGCGAGCUCGGUCCGACUGACCGAGGGCGGACGCGCACCCACGCCACGCCGCCACAUGCGGCGCCAGCGAUAAAGGGACGGACGACGACCGAGCGACGGUCGGCGUAUGCAUGCCGACGCCCACGCUGAAGAAGAAUCCAAGCUCAUGCACGGAAGAAACCACUCCAUCACCCCAAAACGCCAAAUCGCUCGUGUCUUCCGUCACCGCACACCAAGCCGAAAUCGUUUAUCCUCUG